rnacentral:rRNA from 1 species
GAUGAACGCUAGCGAUAGGCUUAACACAUGCAAGUCGAGGGGCAGCACAAGGUAGCUUGCUAUCUGGGUGGCGACCGGCGCACGGGUGCGUAACGCGUAUGCAACUUGCCCUAUACAGGAGGAUAACCCGUCGAAAGACGGACUAAUACUGCGUAUGCUCACAACUUGGCAUCAAGUGGUGAGGAAAGAAAUUCGGUAUAGGAUAGGCAUGCGUCCCAUUAGCUUGUUGGUGAGGUAACGGCUCACCAAGGCAACGAUGGGUAGGGGAACUGAGAGGUUGAUCCCCCACACUGGUACUGAGACACGGACCAGACUCCUACGGGAGGCAGCAGUGAGGAAUAUUGGUCAAUGGGCGCGAGCCUGAACCAGCCAAGUCGCGUGAAGGACGACUGUCUUAUGGAUUGUAAACUUCUUUUAUACGGGAAUAACAAGAGUCACGUGUGACUCCCUGCAUGUACCGUAUGAAUAAGCAUCGGCUAACUCCGUG